rnacentral:rRNA from 1 species
UACGAGGGGUCCAAGCGUUGUUCGGAAUCAUUGGGCGUAAAGCGGGUGUAGGUGGACCAAUCAGUCAGAAGUGAAAGCCCUGGGCUCAACCCAGGAAGUGCUUUUGAUACUGUUGGUCUUGAGUAUGGGAGAGGACAGUGGAAUUUCUGGUGUAGUGGUGAAAUACGUAGAUAUCAGAAGGAACUCCGGUGGGGAAGCCGGCUGUCUGGACCAAAACUGACACUCAGACCCGAAAGCGUGGGGAGCAAACAGG